GUACUGUGCGAACGUUAUUCGGAAUCACUGGGCUUAAAGGGUGCGUAGGCGGCUCGAUCAGUAGGGUGUGAAAUCCCCCGGCUCAACCGGGGAACGGCGCUCUAAACUGUCGAGCUUGAGUGAGACAGGGGUGUGCGGAACUUCCAGUGGAGCGGUGAAAUGUGUUGAGAUUGGAAGGAACACCGGUAGCGAAAGCGGCACACUGGGUCUUGUCUGACGCUGAGGCACGAAAGCCAGGGGAGCGAACGGGGAUUAGAUACCCCGGUAGUCCUGGCUGUAAACGAUGAGCACUAGACGGGAGGGGCCCUUGUGCCCGUCCGGUCGCAGCGAAAGCACUAAGUGCUCCGCCUGGGGAGUAUGGUCGCAAGGCUG
rnacentral:rRNA from 1 species